rnacentral:rRNA from 1 species
GAUAUCCUACGGGGGGCAGCAGUGGGGAAUAUUGCACAAUGGGGGGAACCCUGAUGCAGCGACGCCGCGUGGGCGAUGGAGUAUUUCGGUAUGUAAAGCCCUAUCGGCAGGGAAGAAGCUGACAGUACCUGACUAAGAAGCCCCGGCUAACUACGUGCCAGCAGCCGCGGUAAUACGUAGGGGGCAAGCGUUAUCCGGAUUCACUGGGCGUAAAGGGAGCGCAGGCGGCACGGCAAGCCUGGUGUGAAAACCCGGGGCUCAACCCCGGGACUGCAUUGGAAACUGCAUGGCUGGAGUGUCGGAGG